rnacentral:rRNA from 1 species
ACUCCUACGGGAGGCAGCAGUGGGGAAUCUUGCACAAUGGGCGAAAGCCUGAUGCAGCCAUGCCGCGUGAAUGAUGAAGGCCUUAGGGUUGUAAAAUUCUUUCGCUAGGGAUGAUAAUGACAGUACCUAGUAAAGAAGCCCCGGCUAACUCC